GUCUUUCCACUUGACAUCAGCAAUGCAGGUCAGUCUUUCCUUUAUCUACAUUCUCAGUAGGUGUUUUCAGACCAAACAGUCUGGGGACUUUUUGAAGAGGAACUAUCCACGAGGGAGUUCCCACACACUAUGGGGACUUGUAUCUGAAUUUGCCCCUGGAGUGACAGAAGCUAGAGCAUUAUCAGUUAUAAAACACAGCUGACAAUAUGGAAGAUGCCGUGGAGCCACUUUACCACAAGCAUCACCUCUGACUUAGAUUUAAAUCUAUUGACAAUUACACAUUAAAAAAAAGAGUAGCUUCACAUUUAAACAUUCAGUAUCGAUGUCAAGAAUACUAGCAGACGAGCAGAGCAGGGGUUGUGUAUAUCUUCUUGUGUACAUACAGAGUGCAGCCGAACAAAUCCUGUAUUGAUUUUCUGAUUUUACUUUUCAACAAGCGUCAGCCCGACCUGUCCUAUCAAUAUCCUCUUGUUAAUCAAUUUUAAAGCAUUUCAUUUAUCAAGUAUAAAUGCUGUUGUAUUUACCUGCACCAUGUUAUAAUAGUUGGACAGGUGGCCCUACCCCUAUUAAUUCAGAACUGCCAUUUCUUCAAGUUUUUUUUUUUUCACUUCACUUUCACCCAAGCUGGGCACUGACUUAUGCAGGGGUAGCAAAAGUUUUUUUUUUCUUUUUUUUUUUUUUUUUUUUCCCCCAUCUUAAAUAGAUAUAUCGAGGUACUGGCUGAGGUGACUAAUACGAUUUUGAGAGGCUCAUGCCACCCCUGGCCAUCCAUCUGGAUACACCCCUCGUGCUAAAGUCUUUGAUUUUAUGAAUAAUUUCAUGCUCUAUUGUGUGAAUCCUCUGUUGUUUUUGCAGAGAAAUGAAAUGCAGACUUGUUGAAAUAGUAAUGAAUUAAUAUGAAAGAAUUAGAGGACUGAAAUUAGAUUUGCAGCUUCAAAACGCACACAAACUGUGACAAAGUGACACUCGUUUAUUUGUGGUGCAGCACUAAAGACUUUACAGCCCUAAAUUAGCAGCAAUUUGCAAACCAGCUUGGAAUUAUUUUCAGUCCAUUAUCCAUAAUUUAAAGCUAAUUAGUUUAGCUUCACUGUGACAGUACUGUACUCGACAUUAGAUUUAAUUCUUUUAUUCUCCAAUAUGAUUUAAAUUAAAGCCUCUUCAGUGGACAAAAUGGGAUAAUCAGUCACAAGAGAAGAAGACGGAAACACAAGCUGAGGACACUUUUGAAGACGUCUUUCCAUGGAAAGUUGCACGGCAGCAUUUACUGUUGUAUGCUGGCUAGCUCACGGCCAGAGUGUGUUUCACAUUAGGGAAUAAGAGAGUGAUACUGUGCUUGAACCUGACAAGCAGUAACCUUUAUGGGGGUAUGAGAGGCGGCUGAAGUCAAACUCACACAGCCGUUUUUCAUUCUUUCAACUUUUUCAUCUUUCAGUCAGGCUCGCUCUCUGGAGAUUUCUCUUUUCUCACCAUUGUGAUGAAGCAACACCUCUGGGAUCGAUUGGAAAAACACAGCAACGCUAAUACCGCUAAUAAGGUCAGCUGACAUUUGUUACAGAGACGUCAGUUUUUCUGAAAGCAUUCCAGCCAAGCAAACAACAUACCGCGAGUUUGAUGGCCAGUUAGCAUGUGUACCCUCGCACUUACAAGCAUAUCUCCUCUUUUUAUUUGCAAAAUGAGUAAGGUGGGAGAGGUGGGGGAUUGGAUUCCUCCGAGCCUGCUGUUCCCAGUCAGUGCAGGCUGUAGACAGCUGGGCGCCCACUACAGUUAAGAUCAGAGGCCUUGAUAACCUGGGCCCUGAUUUAUGGAGAGCAAGCGGCCUCUGCAAUCACCUAAUGAGGGAGAGAACGCAGAGUGUUUACAUGUUUAUUAGAUAGCCAAAACCAGCUGGGGACACUAUGUUCCUUCCCCUCCCUUUCUUUCUUUUCCUCUCUCUCCCUCUUUCUCUCUCUCUCAGCAUCCAUCCACAACAUCUAUUGUAUCACACUGCUGUAAUUCAUGAACAAUGACGGAAUUGUGGUAAACUGGAUGCUUUUCAUUAGACCAUUUGCAAACAGUUUUUGGAGAGCAUCUGUGGCCUGUUUUGAUACUUGGUGUGUUUUUAAUAUGUUACACCGAUCCACAAGAGAAGAAAGGUCAGCUGAUGCCAAAAGUGUCUAAAAACAAACACUUCUUUUCCCAGUCGGAAUCAGAGUAUAAUGCCAAGUAGGUCUGCACACACAAAGCAUCUGCCUCCGGGUUUGGUGCGUUACAGCACACAGAAAUGGCGUUCAGAGAUGCAAGUUAAAUAAAACAGAGAAACUUAAAGCUCCUUUGAGGAACUUUUGCUUUGCAGCAAAUAAUAGCGCCCCCUGUGGACAAAGCAAUCUUAGCCUCUUUGGCUUUUGAUUUAACAAAAUCAGAGUAUUGCUGAUUUUGGCAGUCAAAUGUCAUUUUUGUAAAUAUUUAACAUAUAAAGUGUAAAAGUGGCCUUUUUAGUCUUUUAAAAUUAUAUUAUACAAAUAGUUAAUUUUGUCACUGAUGGUCAUUUUUUCUUCUGUAUAUCAUAAAGAGCCUUGAAAGAGAAUUUCAGUCUCUUUUAUAAAUGUUAAAAAAAACUCCUCACAGGAGCUUUAAAGCAUAAAUAUGAAUGCAUGUUAAAAGCACUAUGAAGAGUUAUUACCUGGUUGAGAAACAGACUUAAAGUAAUACUGAUGCCUCCUCAUGUCCUUCAAAAGUGACCAAGACCACCAGGAACAAGUCUUAUGAUUUUACUUUAGUCCUCAGACAAAAUGAUUGACAGCUGGCUGUAUAGCAGCCUUUUUGACUUUUUGACACAGCAAAUACUCACAGUGAGCAAGAAAUGGAAAUUUUUUCAGUGAAAAAAAAAAAAAAUUCUCAUGUACAGGACAAUAGAUAGGAGGUAUCAUUUUGUCCAUAUGGGGGCGCCAAAAUCAACACAAACAAAUGCAAGCAAGAAAACACGACCAAUUUGUCCCCUACAGUGUCUUUAAAAGAUAUGUGUAUUAUAUGGUGUUGCUGAUGUUUAAAUAGAGUUGUAUUCUUUGUACUGGGAUUUACAAAAUUUACAGUCUGAACUGCUGAGCCAAUUUGCAAAAUACAGAGAUAGUAAUACAAUAGAUAAGUGUGUCAGUCUAACCCCCAGAGUCUAUCUAACUUUAAUGUUGCUCUGUACAGUAUAUUGUUGCCAUAAAACAGUGCUCAGUUUAUGGGGAUACAUCCAUUAGGAUGUAACAAUAAAUGCUUUCUUUCUUUCCAAGUACUUUGGCACAGGUGUUUAAGAUCCCAUUGUUCUUCUCCACAACCAAAUCGCCAAACAUGAGCUGACCUCUUUUCAACUGGAGGGACUUGGAUUGGUGAGGCAGAAUUUAAGACCAGAGUUCUAGCGUUUCUUUUUUUCUUUGGUUUGUGAAUGCGCUCUGGCGUGCGUCCAUAUAAAGGCAUUUUCAGUGACUGAUGCUCAGUGGAAAUCAGAUGGUAUUAUCCCUGCUGCUGCUGCCCACACUCUGGAAAUCAAAAGGAGAAACAAGUUCGGUAAAAGUGCGUGUGUGGCUUGUUUAUGGGCGCAGAUUUUCUUUCUUUUAACAGUGUUGUCCAGAAACAAUGAUAGAUGAUAAAAUAACACUGGCAUUCAUACACACAAACAAAAGCACACUUUCCCAUCAGCCUCCCAGGAAUCCCUCAGCACCUGGGAAAAACUCCUUGCUGUCCAAAAAAGUUAAUGCACAACAGACGGCUUUCUCUCACUCUCUCUCUCUCACUCACCCUCUUUCUCUCCAUUUGGCCUUGUAAAACCUUAGCAAAUCAAAUCCGCUUUCCAUCAGGGUUUUAUAAUUGUUGUUUUCGUUAGAGGAACAGCGGUUCUGAGGUCUUUCAAACCUUGUCUUUCAACCAAACCGGAUCUUUGGUUCUUGUUAUCCUCUGCUGGUGUUGAACAGAUUGUGUUCGAGUCCCUGCUGGAGCUUAAAGAGGUUCACAUGUCUCCAGACUGUUCAUGAGGUAUUGGUGACCUGUGAGAGUACAGUGUCGAGUUCCUCUGACAGUUUGCAGUUUGGGUUUUUGUGAUAACUUGUUGUCGGCUUCUUCUUAUCAUAUGACCGUUGCCUGGAUGUUCUGACAUUUUCUGUGAAAACAGAGGAGCGUGAUCACACAUCCAAUGAUUCAAGAAUUACAUCAGCUCCCUGACUAAAGGCCGUAAAUCUCUGUUAGGUGUCAGAGAACACGUACUGUAUCUGUGUGAAAGUGUACAGUGGUUCUCGAGGGCAAAAGUGCAGCAAUGGCCCCAGAGGUAAGAAUUUAAAAAUGAUUGAAAUCUAUAAAAAAAACGUUCAAACGUGUAAAAUAUUUAAAUACAUGAUGCAAAGAGGGUAACAUCCAAACCCCAAAAACAAAUACAACAAAAAGGUGUUAAAAAUCUCGGUCUGAAACAAUGAAGCCAACAUGCAAACAAACUGCAGUUCCUUAAAUGUCCACUUCACUGUUUCCAGUAGUCAAGGGUAGCUGCACUGAUACCUGCCUUAAAAUGCCCACUGUAGAAACAUGAUGCGAUGCAAUGUGUUGCGAUUUGAUUUGAUUUGAUUUGAUUCGAUUCGAUUUGUCUUGGACUCCAAAAGCUGCACAGAUAAAGCUGCCAAUAGAUAACACAUAGCAUUAGACCCAACAAAGAUACAGUCACACAACCCACGCACCCUGCACAUACACGUCUUGCACAAGAAACUCACAGAAAUGGUCAAACAAAAAACUCUCUGACAACAAAUAUCAAUUACAAAGAAUAAAAAAAAUAAAUAUAUUAAAGCUCCUGUCACAAAAUUUUGGUAAGUGUUGAUUUUGGCACCCCUGCUGCCAUCUUUCCUGAUUGUGCUUCACUUUGCUGUGGAACAUGGAAAAUAAGGCUGUAUCAGCAGUGUACAACUUUUUGCCUUGCCUUGCCACCAGAGAUUAGAAAUAACUCAAUAUAUAUCAUCACCAUUCUUUUGUAAUAAUCUCUUUUGCUAUUUAAGGUUAAAAAAAACAUCUAUAUUAACUUAAGCUUGUUUCAAACCUCACUAAAAACUCCACACAGGAGCUUUAAAUGUACAGUUGUGGUAUUAACAGCUAGUUUUUUAGCUUGUACACAUUGUAUUAGGUUUGUACACCAAGAUUAAUGCUUAAAUCUGCACAAUAGGGGUCUAUUUAUAGUGAGUAUGUCACAGCUGAAAGGCUCCCUCAACCCCACCUCUCUGCCAGUGUCUAAAGUAGGUUGAUUACGUAUUUCCAACCAACAUCGUUAAGCUUCACAGCACUUCUUCAGAAAUCAACAGUUGGAGUUACUGGGAAUAUGUUCAUGAUUUAUGCGUUUAGAGGGUUUAGAUGCAUUAAAUGUGAGCACUACAAGUGCUAGACCAAAGAAAGUUUCUGGGCGAGAGAGAGAGAGUUACAGAAUUUCAGACAUCAUUCAUCCUGUUGGGAGGGUCUCUGAAGGCUGGGUGUUGCUGACAACCAUGUAGGAUCAAAAAUCUCAAAAUUUAUGAAAACAUGAGUGUCUGGUUCAUACUUUAGACAUCCAGGCAAAGCCUCGAGAAGUCUGAUCUUCAAGUCUUCUCUCCUCUCUUCAGCUGUUAGAUGCCGACCGGCUGGCGCUCCUGACCAGCCCCGACCCCAACAAAUCACUAAUUUUUAUACAAUUACCCCCCGCUCCCUUCCUGCGCAUGGCUGGGUGCAAGUGUCGCCCGUCUGCCUGCCAUUGUGUGCUAAUUUUAGGCCCAUUAUUCGCUGUAACAAAUGUGCUAUGGGCAGAGUCACUUUCACAUUAAUAGUUUGCACCCAGAGGGGAAGUCUUCCCCCUCAUCAUGGAUCAAAGGUCUCCUCUAUUGUAUCUAACUUCCUGUUUCCCUUUUUAGCCACUGUGUGUUGUUUUUUCUCACUCUCUCAACCUGGACCUCGCUACAAUGGCAGUUCAGGGCUUUAAUAUUGGACACUGAGGCAGCUGCGGCUCAGUGGUAGAGUGGGUCGUCAGAGGGUUGGGGGUUUGAGUCCAUAUUACCCAGUGUGUAGUGUCCCAAACUACCCCCCUGGUGGCUGUGCCAGUGGCGUGUGGGUGGGAUUCAUCAUUACUGAUGGGUGCUUUACCCAGAAGCCUCUGCCCUCUGUGUGUGAAAGUGGUUUAAAUAGAUAUACGUGAAAUAUAAUGUAAAAGUUCUUUGAGUGGUCAAAGGGAGUGCUGUGCAAAUUCACUCCAUUUACCAUUUACACUGCUGUGUGUGACAAGCACGAGGAGACGCCCUUUGACCUGUUGUGUGAGAGCCAGCAGGUGAUUUGUGGAAAUAGGAGGAGAUGUGUGAAGUGAAAGCUCACGGUCUUGAUAUCAUGUGUCCGCAGAGAAAUCUGGAUCCUAUUGUUGUACUGUCAGCAGAGGUGUCCAAGUUUGAUAAAAUGCCUCGUCACCUUUCUCCGGUUCAACUCCCGCAGAUGUUAAAUGAUAGAGGUUGAGCAGCUGAAAUUACCCUGACCUCAGCCUCUGGAAAAUAUUUUUCAACCCAGAAUGUGUGACUGUGCUCUCUUGAAGGUACUCUGAUUAUCUUAACCCCAUGAAAUUCGAAGAUGACGCCAACUACGGUUAAUUUUUCAACCCAGAAGAACUGUCCCUUAAAUAACUCUUUGGCGAGGUGCUGCGGUGGAUGACUGAUGCAGCUCUGUGUCACAGGAAGCUGUAAAGCCAGCAGACGGGGAAGACCCACAUGUCACAAGGCUAAACAAAUCUCACCUCGCCAUUGUACUGAGAACAACUGACCCAACACAUGACUCCGAUGAAUCACACGGACACGUUUGCAGGGGAGAUAAAAGCCAAUAAAUAACAAGGCCGGGAACAGUCGCGACGAGUGCCAGAGGAAGAUGCUGAAACAAGCUCCAGAGUGUAGGGAAAGUUCAGUUUUUACAUCUUCGAUCAUAUUUUUAAGGUUUUAGCCAAACUCUCUUUUUGAAUCACUAACAAGAAAGGACAUGAAGGAGUUUCAGUGUAUCCUGUCUCAAACCUUGAGCCUUAACUUAAACUGCCUCCUUCAAAUUUCCCACUUUUUCUCUGUUUCGAGAGGUCCUUCAGAGGGUAGGGUGUCUCUUUUUACUUUCAAUAUCAAGAGGUCAUCAAACUCUCUGAACAGCUCUUUAAAUAGAGUGUUAAGUGAUAAAGGAAAACUCCCAAAAUGUGCUCCAAACUGUGGCAGUGAUACAUGGAGCUUUGCAAGUUAUUGUCCAAAAACUAAGAAAUUAGUAGAAACGAUUUAAAGCAAAGGUGUAUGCACUUUGAUUAUUACCACAAGGGUAUGAGAAGAAUGGUGUCCCAUUUCUCAGAGAUUUCUACCCAUACCUUUGGAGGUAUAGAGCCUCUUUCUUAUCCAAAGUUUUCCAGGAUUUGGGAUAAGGCCACAAAAAAAAUGAGAGCGAUAGAAAUGGUGAGACUGAUGCAUGUAGUCAACCAGCAGCAGCAGUGAUCCAGAGGAGCCUACGGGAUGAGGGAGCUCAGGGACCCCCAGAAAAGACUGUAGUUAGUGACUAAGACAGGACAUGAUGAUUCAAAGUUAAUGACAUUUAUUUACCAUUAUUGGUUUUGCAGAAUUACCCCCAAUUUCCACCACAUCCGGAACGGCUACGAAAAGGCUGUAUCCGCUGAAUGUAGCUGAUCGUAAACAUUCAAGUUAAUGUGUCAAUUUCCACCAGCUUCUUUCCAUUCCACUGCGGGUCAUGGGACUCCACAGCUGAUCGCAGGAGUUCUAUUUUUUCCGAACGCUGGAGCAUGCCGGAUAAAUUCAGCACAGAUUAACCUGUUCUGGAAAGGAAGUCGGGCACACACACAAAAUAAAACAUUCGGCUUCCUUUCAAAAUAAAACACUCCGUAUUUCACACCAUGCAAACAGGCAGGGACGAACAAGUCAAAGGUUUUUAGACAGCAUUUCAUCCCGAUGACACCAUGGAUGAGAGGAUAAUGAUUUUGUAAGUCUAAAGUUGGAUCGCCUCCACUGGAAGGACACAAUCUACUGCUUAUAUGGUUAGCCUAUGUGGCUAGAGACAACUCGUUAUCACGCGAUUGUACAUGAAUCCCCGGGUUCUUGUGAGUUCUUGCAAUUCCUGCUGUCCAUAAUUUGUCACGAAACGCGCCUCACAAACGGAUCCGGUAGGAAUUGGCAGACGGUGAAAAUUUGCAGCCGUUCCAGAUCGUUGCCAUUACGGAAUCACAAGAUCACAAGACUGCCAUGUUUUUUUACCGUAUAGUAAACAAAUAUAGAAAGAGAGUAUAGAGAAGCUGCUGUAUGGUUUAGAGAGGGAAGCAUUUCUCCAGGCACAGUGAUCCUGUAAUACGGGCCACGCAGAAGGUGAAAGGGAUUGCUGAUGGCUCAGGGGGGUGACCUCUUAGCCGAUGGGGGAUGGAGCGAUAUAGGAGCAGCGGUCAGUACUGCGGCUGCAGGAGUGUGUGUCAUCCUCUGCUGUGUGACGUGUCCGUGUUAAUGCAGCAUGUCCCCUGUGGGAUGGGGAAGGGACCGAGCCCUGCAGAUUUACAGAACGAGCGGUUUGCUCAUGAUACUUCAGGUCAAACUCCCUCCUCCUGGCAGUGAAGGCGGAUGGUUUGACAGAAAGUGUGUAGAGAGCCACAGCUGAGGCUCAGGCAGAAAAUAAUGAGGUAAAAUAAACAUGAAAGCAAACACUGAUUCAUGUUUCAGUGUAUCUGUAAAAAUCUAUCAAUCAAUCACUCACUUUAUUUAUAGAGCACUUUUCAUACAUGGACUGUAUCACAAAGUGCUGUACAUUAAAGAAUACAAGAAGGAAAAGAUCAGGGGAUACUGAAUAAAAUACAAGUUAAAAUGGUGACUUAUAGCAGAAUCUGCACUUUUCCCCAGGAAGAAAGAUCUGUAUUUAAAUCUGAAUACUAGUCGAGCCGAAGCAGGCAUCAAAAUAGAGCAGCUCCGCUCAAAUUAAUUAAAAUUCAAACUUAAUGUCUCCUUGAACCUGUGACAUUGUAAACAACAGGCUCCCUACAAAUUUGGCCUCUGUUGCCAUGUUAUUGCUGCAAUACACUCUUCAUGUUGUCAGGGCAGCCAAAGUAUCCACAUUUUUUGCCUCUCUCAUUUUAUUUAUUUUUUUUUUUUUUUUACCCAUAAAGGCUGAUGUACAAUCACGAAGAAUGUGUGCAAUCGAAUGUCCUUUCUCAUUGUGGCCUCAUUCACAGAUGAAUUGGCUGUUCCCCUCAUGUCCGUGAGUUUUAUUUAGCUACACCACUCUAUUGGCUAAUUUGUUAUGUCGUCCUUUUUUUCUGUCCUGCGCUGAUGUCUUGUGCUGAUGUCUCGGGGAAACCUUCAAACAUGUGAACCCAGCACGCACAAGUCCAAGGAACAGGAAACUGAGAACAAGAAGCAGCAGGUUAUUUUUUGUAAGACCAAAAUCAAAGCUCUUCAGAAACUGCUAAAUAUUAAGACAUGUUUUUAUUGGAGAUAAGAACAAAUCUCUAUGCCGCUGAAAUCUUUGCAGAUGAUGAUGUUGUAUUCAGGGCUGUCUCAAGACGCACUAUUGAGGAUAACAGUCUGUUUUGGAAUAAUUAAUAUCGAUAUUGGCCAAAAAUAAAUAUACGGUAUGAGUUCAUUGUCCUUCACACUGAUUUGACACAUCAUAGAGAGAGCUGCUAAGAUACUUCUAAAAACUGGAAUUUAAAGAUUCAGCUUGUGUCUCUCAGAGUUACCGAUCUAACUGUUCAUUUGAUUAAUUUUAUUCAGAUCCGCAACUUGAAGUCUGCAGUUUAUACUCCAAAAUAAAAACAUAGUUUUACCAUGUGGAAAAUAAAGUAAUGUAAACAAUAUAUUUAUAAUAUAAUAUCGACAAAAAGGUGAUAUCUACUCCAAACCAGUUUCAGUCACGGAGCGGCUGGUGCAGAUGAAAAAAAUCAACUGAGUAGUUGGUCAAGUUUAUUAAGUGUAUGAUGUGUAACUCCAGCCUCAUUUUGCCUUUUCAUCAAUGUCACUAAAUGUGUUGUUUUUCAAAAAUAUUGUGAUCAUAUCUUUAUUGCAGUAUUUUAAGGCCACGAUAUUUAUGAGGUGAACAUCUAACACCAUGACAGCCCCAGUAGUAUUAUUUGUUUGAAACUGUGUUGCCUGAUUGUUUGACAGUGUAGACCUCAGGGGUAACCCUCUCUGUAAAAAGGUCAGGUUUGUACACACUCAAUGUUGUGCAGAUAAAAGGAAAUCAAACAUCAUCUGUGAAUGAAUGUUGAAGCUAAGAGAGGAAGAUGGCUGUCCACCUCAGAGUCUAGAUGUGUUGGAGGUUUCUGCCUCUUUAAAGGAAGGUGCUGAGUGCCGUAGGACAAUAUUUUUAAAAACCUGUUGAAUCUGAAUGGAUGUUUAUUUCCAGAUUCUCUCUUUAGUGGCAAAAUUGAUGGGGAGCUGGUAGUCGUGAGGAAAACUAGCACAUGCUGUCAUGAGUAGAAAUUUAACUAGCAAGGCUACUUUCCAAUCCUGCUGUAACAAUUAGUCGUGUAACAGCAUGGCUAUAUCUUUCCCCGUCUAGUUCUCCAAAUUAAUUGAAGGAGGAAGUAGCAUGUGAGGAAAUUAGGCCAAAGAAGAGCAGAGUAAAGUGCACAUUAAGGAGGCUAAAAGCAUUUCCCUUUUUUUUUCUCCCACUCCUUGUCUUUCUACUUGAGGCCUUGGGGAGAUAAUGAGAGCCUUGGCUUUGUAAACAUUAUUUCUGGCAUAUUGCAGCUGCCAUCAGCUUAUUUAUGGCCUGAAUUUUAAUAAUCUGGGAGCUAAUAUGCUUGAGAAAAUAGGGAAACACACAGUAAAGCUUGAGCACAGCCAAACAUUGCUUUCCUACCCUCAGCAAGGAGGCCACUCAACAGGAACAUCAAACGCUCGCUCUCCUGCGUCUGGCCCACGUUAAUUGUACGUCUAUUGUGCCCCCAAAGGUCUCUGGGAACCAAAGGAGGAGAAAAUUGGCACAGAGAGAGAGAGAGAGAGAGAGAGGGAGAAAGAGAGAGCGCUAAAUAAAUAAAUUCUUAAACUUUGUCAGACUGGCAAAGGUUUUGAUACCUUAUUCUGAGCUCCCACUGCAUUUCAGUAACAAAAACAUCCUUUCAACUCGGGUGUUAGUUUUAUUUAUUUUUAUUAAACCUCUUAAAUAGUGCAAAUAAAUUGCAUCUUUCUAGUUUAUCUAGGAGGCCCUGAAGUCCUGUUCUCGCAAACAAACUUUAGAAACAGCUUUUCCAUCAAGAUAAACUGAGUUGAAGCGCCAGUGGGUAAGUUUGUGUCAAGUUUGGCACCCUCUGUGGACAAAGUUGUCUUUGCUUAUCUUGUCCUCUACCUGCUUGAACAGCAUUCUCGAUCAAAAAAUCUUAUCCGGCCAACUUUUAACAUUCAAAUCUUUCAUUUCUUGUGAAUAUUUUGUAUUGAAAAAUGUAACAACGGGGAAGUUUCUUCUGCCGCUUGGUUUCAGACUCAGCGUUGAGAUAUAAAAACCAUCAGUCAUUUCGCUGAUGGACUUUUGUAGAUCGUACAAAUACAUUAACUAAAAUUUCAGUUCAAUAACCAUUAGUCAUUGAUGACAUUUGGGAAUAUAAUGAUAUAGCUGUGUUUUGUUAUGUCUGUGUAGUCAACAUUUUAAAUUUUUUGAGUGGCCCGCUCUUUCUGACUGUAAACAAAGUAGUUCUCUGCCUCCCCAUCCUGAUUGGUUGUGAGGCAGACGCUGCUCCCCCGUGUCGUUCAGGAGCCCAAACAAAGUUAGCGUGCUACAAUAUCGGACAGUAGAAACCAACCAGAAAGUACAGAAAACUGUCUGAAUCCUCCUUUAGCCACGACUGCCAACACAAGUAAGAAAACAAACUUAAUACCGGAGACUGGCGGAAUAAAGGGUGCUUAAAAACGAGGUAGACCGGACAAGAGCUAAAGAAUCCAGGUCAACAAUGAUGGGGGAUGCUUCGGGAUCUUACAGACCCUGUAACCUUUCUGCUGGACAGGUAAACCGCUUUAACAAACUAAGCUAAGUGUCUUUAGCAGAAGUGUUUCUUGUCAAACGGGACCUGCUGCAUGUUGUAGCGCCACUAAACUGUUUACCUCGGGUCCUGGAGUAUGUCACUUUAUCCUGGUUGGUUGUGAGGCUGGUUGUAAAAGUCCUGCAUACGUUUUGUUUGCUGGUAGUCUGUUGGCAUCUACAUUCGCAUCAAUGCUUUUUACUGUCAUGUUAACUGGGCCCCCUUUUGUAAUUAUCUGAAGUAUUUAUCUGCAUUAUAUCUGAAUUUAACUGGAAGGAUACGAGCGAGCAGGAGUGUCUGUUUGUGGGCGGGGCUUGCUGGAGCAGAGAGGAAGGGGAGAGGAGGAGCUGAGGGGGAAACUGAUUGGGAGGGGUAGAGUUUACAUUCAAGAUUUCUCCCAAAAACUGGCACUUCCUCAGAUCCUGCCUACCCCACCAUUAAUUUGAUUCAUUGUGGCAGGGCUAAUAACACUGAUCAGCAGAGGGCGCUUAUAAGUGGUACAUACCAAAUACUAUUCCCAGUGUAAUGCAUACAAUAAAAGUGAGUUUCUCAGUGUUUUUACCUAUAUUUUAACCUUAAAUAAAGCAUUAUGGGUAAUGAAGUGACAAGUUUUGCACAAGGAUUAAUUAUCUGAGUAAAAACAGCUCAUACCUCGACAAAGACUGUUUUGCUUUUGGACUUUGUAAACUGUCCAUCUCAGGUCCCAAAUGGCCGCGGUAAGCCUUUGAUGUCACCAUGACCCGACAUUGUGUGUUUUUUCUCAAAGUCUAAAUUGGAUAUGCUUCGAGAUCCAAAUAGUUGAAACAGUUUGAAAGAUCAUACGACAUACACCAAAUCCUACCAAGUACAUGACACAAUACAGCCAUUCAUAAUGACAGCUUUUUCUGAUCUGAUUCCUCUUGUUGGCAGAACAAUGUCAUUUGUCAUCAUUGCCCUCCAAAAACCACAUCCAGAACACUGUGAGAAACAUAAAUCUGUUUUAUGAUCUUCACUUGCGAGGCUUUGAUUUGGUUUGAGCAACAACACGACUCGGUGGGGAUUUUAGUCGCAGGAUGGCGUAUGUUGUAAACUAUGACGGUUUUGGUUUGAGAUAGAAUUACUUUUUCAUUAGUAACCUUUGUCAUGAUUACUUCAAUAAACACUCACAGGAAUAAGUGAAGUUGAAGCCAAAGGACACCAACAUGGACUUUCAGCUGCCUCUUUUGGGGUUGUUCCACCGUUUGUUUGCCCACCUUUCCGCCCUGAUUCCUCCUUUAUUCCUUUUUUGUUAGAUAAAGGAAACCAAAUGUCAUCUUUGGGCAUCUGCUCCAAUUAAAGUUGGUGUGUCUGCAGUUUUAUUAUUCAUGCUCUCAGUAGAAGAUGAAUAUGAUCAUGAUGUAAAGUAUUUAAAUCAGCCAAUAUACAGUGUUAAAGAGACAGACCAAGAGCCAGUAAACACACCAUUGCCCGUCUGCCGAACAGGCUGAGACAAAAACCUAACAGGCAGUCAGCGGCGGCGGGCCCGAGGUGACUGAAAGUUUAAAGGGCAGAGUUCAGAAAAGUAAGUGACCCCGUCCUGCCUCACACACUCCUUAGCUGUACAUAUUUACGAGGUGUAAUUUUUAUGUGAGUGCCAGGCAACAACAGGUUUAAGAGGGCCAGAGUAACCUUCCUGGGGCCCGGGGUGACCUGUACCCUGGCUACAAUUGUUUCCCUGGGCCACAAUUAGGAGCAGGGCUUCAAUGAGUCACCCCAGCGUCAUGCUUCCAUGCCGUCACAACACUCGCCCUCUCCGCGCUCAUAAGCAGACUUUGAAACGGUCACAGCUUUCCUUCAGCUCAUCUGUCAGCUGUUAAUACUUGUGCCAAAUCUAAGUGUCAGGAAUAAGAGGUGCUCUGAUAUUUUUCUCCUCCCGAUUUUGACACCACUGCUUAUUUCAUCGUACGAGAAACUUUGAUAAGCGGUUGUGGAAAUAUGAUACAAUAUGCAUGGACUGCACAAGUGAACAUAUCCUAACUUCUUUCCUGCUGAAUCUCUUGUUAUCUUUUCCCUCUUUCCUGUUUCUUUCUCCAGCUCUGGUUUGGUGAGCUUUGACAGUCGCUGCGAUGCCCUGCGACACAGCGAGUCUUCAGUAGGGGCUCACUGGGUCUGGCCACACAGGCUUGUCACCACUAUUCACCAUCAAACCCCAAACUACCAAUUAACUCCUGAGCCCACCCCCACCUGCCUGAAGGCACAGUGACCUGCCCCCCCUAUAGUCUCACCCCCACCGCCCCUCAAACCCGCUCUGUACUCCCCGAACAUGCCCCAUGAGAUGCCUUGUGACUUAGUGACAUACAGAUGCUCAGAGAUAUUCUCCCUGUGUGUGUGUGUCCAUCCGUCCGUCUGUCUGUCUGUCAAAGCCCUGAACUUUAAAAAGGCAGAUAAAGUCAAUCUGUCUGUGCUCAUUCAUGGCAGAGUCCAGUGUGGCUAUAACAAGUUAUCCUCGUGGAGAUAACCGAGGGAGACAAGCGGGGUCUGGCACGAAGGCAGAUGCUAGCAAUGAGGGUGUAGUGGAACAGGGAUCUUCAGACCUACAGGGAUUCAUUGUAGCUUAAAUCUCAGGAAGUUGCAAGAACGGGUCUCAAACCCUGGGAUGAGUUCAGGUUUUUCAACCCUUGCUCUUUCAUCUUGAAGAUACAGCCACUAUGAUAGCAUCUCUGCUACUUUUGUGACUCCAACCCCCGAUUUCCACUGCAUCCAGAACAGCUAUAAAAAGGCCGUAUCUGCCGAUCAUAGCUGAUCAUAACCAUUCAAGUUCAUUUGCCAAUUUCCACCAGCUUCUUUCCGUUCCACUGCGGACCAUGAGCGUUCUAUUUUUUCCUGACGCCGGAGCAUGCCGGAUAAAUUCAGCACAGCUUAACCUGUUCUGGAAAGGAAGUCGGGCACAGACACAAAAUAAAACAUUGUAUUUCACACCAUGCAAACAGGCAGGGACGAACAAGUGAAAGGUUUAUCGACAGCAUUUUUCCCCGAUGAUCACGCGAUUGAAUGUGAAUCCGCGGGUUCUUCUGAGUUCUUGCGAUUCCUGCUGUCCGUAAUCCACCAUGAAAUUCGCUUUACAAACAGAUCCAGUAGGAAUUGGCAGACGGCGAAAAUCGCUGCCGUUCUGGAUCUGAGCCAUUCCGGAUGUGGUGAAAAUUGGGGGUAAUACAACUGAUAUAAAAAAAGCUGUUUCUUUUUAGCACAUAUUUGAGAUAUUCUACGACCUUCACAUACUUGGAAAAGCUGAUAGAAAGACUGAAACCUUCCAGGAUAUGAAACGUCAACAUCGCAGAUAGAGUCUGUUGUCGCUGUGGCCCCAAGUUGCACAAAUGUCAGUCAAGUGGCAGCUACAAUUUAGGCCACACGGAAAACACACUGCCUUUGUAUGUGUGCAGUCUGUGUGUAGUAAUAAGUAACACACUCGUACACAUCCUGCGCCCACUCUCAGAACUGUAGCGGUGUUGUAAAUGUAGUGGCUCUGUGUGUCUUUGAUCAGUGGAGCUGCUGAUGGAGGCAAAGUCAGAGCGCGCUUUCAUAAAAGACGGAGAGGCAGAGGAGGGAAAGAUUGUUUGCUUUGAGACAGGAAGGAGUGACUGUUGAAGUGUGAACUAAUGAGGAGGGUGAAUCCUCUCAGACAAGAAGCUGCACAGGUGCUAACUGAAGGUGUAGCAUUUUUUAUGUACGCUAACACCAACCAACAAUGGGUGGAAUAAACAGAAAGAAGCAUCAUUUCUAUGACCAGGUAUGUUGAUUCAGAUUAAAUUUGCUGUGCCAAACACAUUUUGGAGGAAAAAUCUAACGGUUGAAAAAAAAUAAAAGCAAAAUGUUGUAGACGCCAUAUUGAAAAUGCUGACUCUGCCUAACUUACUGUCAACUUAGCAGUGGUGAGGCUGAAGUACGAAGAGAGUUAGGGCUAAAUGAAGAGGAAAAAAUAAUUACAGGAAGGAAAUUAAAGUAGAAAUUUCAAGAUUAAAGAUGAAAUAUCUAGAAUAAAAAGGUCAAAAUUAUGUCAAUAAAGUUGAAAUUUCGAGAUUACAAAAUGUCGAAAUGUCGUUAAAAUAAUUACAGGAGGGAGAUUUUUUACAUUUCCAUUUCUAAAUUAAUGUCAAAAUUUUCAGUUGAUUUGAAUAAAGUUGAAAUUUUGAUUUUUUUAAAGUUUCGAAGUUAAUUUCCGAAUUUCGACUUUAAUCUCAAAUGGAAAUAAAAAAAAAUCUCUCUCCUGUAAUUUUUUUAUUUUCUAUUCUUGCGGCCCUAAUCCUCUUUCAUACAUUCGCGAAAAUGAGCUCUUUUGAAUAAGUGUAUAUACGGUUUAUGGUGCUUCUGCAGCCAGCCCCAUGUGGUCACUUGAAGAACUGCAGUUUUUAGCACUUACGCACUAGCUUCAUUUUUCAUGACCGGAGAUCGCUGCUUUCGUUGAACAGAGUCAGGUUAGCUGUUUUGCUAAUGAAAGACACAGUCAAGCAUGUCAGUCUCUUUAGAAAGUUACCAAGUGUACCAACCGACUGAUUAACCUUCUGUCACUGCAAACGACAUGUUUAGAUUUAGAUUGUAUUUUGAAAAGCAACUUAUUUUUUUCAGUUACCUCAUGACACUUGAUAUAAAGAGCAGUUCUAGAGUUUGACAUCAUGGAGUAAUCUACCGUCAAUCUUCUUUCUAACGGGCAGAAACCUCAAGCAGAACCAGACUCACCAGCGGACAGCCGUCUGCCCUUAACUGAAUUGAGAGACAGUCUCACUGAUUUAAAGCCAGCAAAUAAGAAAAGAAAAUAAUGGUGAGGAGUACCAACAUUAAUGACGAAGAUGAAAAACAAUACCUAACCAAACUGUGGAUUAACAUUUCUGCACCACAUGGAUGAAUGUUUGGCUUUGCUCUAAUUACAGUAGUAUAGGCACAACAUGGUGAACCGCAAUUACAUUACUGCAAAUCCAUAUCAUCACAAAAGUGUUUGAUAUUAAAUUAAAGGGUUCUCUCAAAUACACCACAUGAAAAAAGAGGCUUUGACCCAGAAAAACUGAUUCAGUUUAACAAAUUUGACUGAGACUGUAAAGGUUUGGUAAUGAUAAUGUUAGUGUAGUUACAUAAAAGCUCUAGCAUGAGUAGGAAUCUUUUUUUUUUUUCCUUCAUAUGUGUAAAUUUAACCCAGAAACAAAAAGAUAUGUCCUCCAUUGUCUUCACAGACAUAAAAAACAUCGCCACAGUCCACAUAAAGUCAAAUGACUUUUUUUGUGUGUUUUUUUCUUCCUCUUUCUUCUGCUGCAGUCUGAGCCUUUAAGUGUGUCUAAGACUUUCCAUUUGGCUGUCACUUUUAAUUUGCUUCUUAUCUUCAAAGAACUCAUCCACCCCUGUUGGCAGCUAAUGGAAGUGCUGCAGAGGUGUGGCACCAAGACGGCAUAAAAUCAGGCGGUAGUAUCAGGAUUGAUGGCUUUUAGUGUCACAGAUAGACAAAAAAAGAAAGGUACGAGAGUUUGAAGAAAAACUAGAAUAGGGUCACUCUGGUUAUUUAGGUAACAAUAGAGGAAAGUUUCCAAACAAUGAAGUCUGAGUGUGGAAAGAGAGCACACAGCGGACUGGGUUUCUCAUCGUGUGAAGGUUUUUAGGGAGGAAGUGGUCGUAUCAAAGAUAAAUCUGUGCGCCCGUAAAGCAAACAAACUCUGUGCUUGAAUGACAGCAGAAACCAAGAGUGCUGAAAUUUAUGGGUGGUGCCUAAACAAAUUGGCAACACGGAGCAAACUUCAAUCUACUCUACAUAGGAUUUAAUGAAACGGAUACUACUCAUGCGAUUGCUGCCAGCUGCAGAGCUGAAAGAGAGAGAGAGAGGGAGAGAGGGAGAGGCAGCUAGGAUAAAUCAGGAGUCAAAUGCCAAUACGCCAUCGGCCAAAUCUCUCAACCUGAUGAAACACAAGAAUAAUCAGAUUUGGAGAUGCUUUUUUGGGAGGGGGAGUGGAAGUUUUUUUGAGGGGGGAAGUGGGAGUGUUGGGUGAUGAUAUGAGCAGAACGGACAGAACAAGGAGCUGCUUUUUUUCCUGACUGACAGACGGUCCCAAACAAGGCUGUUCUCUGAGAGUGCAGGGGGGGUUAGUACCAGGUCUUGAGGAGCAAAAACAGAGGAGGAGGGUAUUCUUUUUUGAAAUGGUUGUUUCUUUUAAGGACGGAGGUUGGAUUGAGUAAUGUGUGGGUCAGAUAAGGGUGAAAAAAAAAUUGUUGUGGGAUGUUUAAAUGUGCUGGCUGUUUUUCCACUGACAGAACAAAUUUAUGAUCUUUUUCCACAGUCUUUUCACUUGCAUGCUUAAUCAGUAAUUUUAUUGGCAUUAAUAGUUGGUAAUUGUGCCUGCAAACAGCACACAUGUGUAGUAUUUCUUUGUUUAUGCUUGUCAGCGAUGACAAAUGUGCGUAUCUACGUCGCCUGUCGCAGGUAUUUCGUCUCCUUAUUCAUCACAGGCACGGGCAGAAAGGCUUGAAAACAACACAAACAUAGCUGCCUCUCUUUCAAGCUGAACACCUCUGCUUUCCAUAACUUUUUCACUCGCUGUCAUUCAGCCGGCUGCAGACCGUCUGCACACACAGAACAAUGACACGUAUGUAUCUGUAAAGACUUAAUGAAACAUGAGAUUCCUCUUGAAUAGAGGAGUGCAGUGUAAUAGUUUAGGACAUGAUUUAUCCGUGGCAGACGGGGCAUGUUUGGACAGGAGAGUUUGUUACACCAGUCACAAUAAUCUCUCAAUUCAAUCAUGUUUGAAUAAGGCUAGAUGGGCAAAAAAAAAAAUAAAAAGUAAAUACUUUCCACUUUAAAUGAACAAAAUCAAGAUUUCUUGUUAAAAAUAAUUUGACAAAAUGACACAGAUCCUAAUUCAUCAGCCAUAAAGUUGCUUUUUGAAAUGCAUAUAAAAAGUGUUGAACUGCAUUUCAUAGGGGAGACCAGGCACAGUUAUGACACCUUUUCCUUUAGUACUUGUAGCUUGCAACACUCUAAAUUUUUUAUACCACAAAUCAUACCAAUUCAAACUCCUUCAAAAAUAUGGGUUAAUGUUAAACACUAAGUUCUAUUUUGUAAUAAUCUGCCCCUCUUCCUACUACCAGGGAAGGAUUGAACACAUGCUAGGCUAUCGUAAUAAUUAGCAAAACAGCACAAAUAGAGGUCACAUCAUGUUAUACGCUUCAAAACCAAGUUUAAAGAAAUAAAAGAACAACCUCGGUUUAUCCUCUCUCCCUCUCUUUUUCUUUCUCUCUCUUUUCCAAAUGUUCAUAUUCUAUUGUUGGAAAAUUACUUCUCUCUCCGUGUAACAACCUUCCCCGGUCUCCCCUACAUGGCGUGCCUGCAUAUGCACAUGUGCUGUCAUUUAAACUCCUUUAUGAUAAAUGACUUUAAACUGUUAAAUUGUGAUGUUUUCCACCUGUCUGUUCUUCAUGUCUACACUGAAAAGGAAAAAAAAAAACAUUCAGCACACAGCAUGAAAUAAACUCCAGAGUGACUUAAAAUUGUCAGACAUCAUUUCAUUAGAUUCAUUUCACUCUAACUGAAAUGUCAGACCAUUGAGGGGUGUCUGUGUUUUUAAUUGUUAGCCAUGCUUGUUUCUGAAUCUGCAGUUAAGUUACCAACUAGUUUGUACCUUUUAAAAUUGUUGUUUUUAUAUUAUUGUCUGUAAUCUGUCUUUUAAUUGUUAAGAUGUUUGCUGCUGACCUCUUUACCCAGACUCACUUAUAAGAGAUCUCAGUAGGUUAUUACCUGGUAAAUAAAUUAAAAAAAACAGUUUCAGUCCACAUGCAGUUAAUUCGAACUUGGUUGCCAUCAAGACCCUUUACUCACAAGGUAUAAAAACAUUCAAACGUGAUACAAAACACACUCAAAUGUUGUUUUACAUAGUUUUUUAGGACACAUAUUCUAUGAGUGAUUAUGAAUUUAAAAGAUUUAAAUCAAAGACAUCUUUUACAUUUUAUAUUUGUGUUUUAAAUUAAACUGAAUAACACAUCUACUUAUCUGUUUCAUAUAAAGGAGCUUUAACUGGUUUCUUAUCACCAACACUAUUUAUCAAAUGUGUGUUUACUGCUUAGUAAUGUUAUAAAAAAAGACUUUGUGUUUUAACUACAUUUGUUCACCUGUGGAAGGAAAUAUUUUCUGUUUCUUUUUAUUUUAUUUUGGACAAAUGAAAAUACCUACACCUGCAGAGGCCACAUUGACAUAUCGCCUAGUGUUAAAGAAAAUCAUUCAUACUACAGCUGCUCUUAAAACUUUGACUUUUGAAUAAACAAAAUAGAAGAAAACCAUAAAACAUUCGAUAUUAUUGGUUAUUGGCUGACAUGGUAUUUAAUUACUUACUAAAGCUGCAUGAAGUCUGUGAGACCUCGUGUUAUCCCUGAUAUUCUCAUAGUGUUUGAACCUCUGCUAUUUAAGAGUUUGGAUUUUUGUUUACAGUGUUUUCAAGCCUUAAUGGAAAGAUGAUAAUAUAUUGUCCACUCACACAGACGAACACACACACAUAGAGACAGACAGAGUGCUGAUGUCAGUCUGAGGGGGGCUUUCACGUGAUGCCAACGGGACAAAGGUUUGUGUGACUCCACUAAUCUAUAUUUUUUACAGUAAGAGAGAGAGAGAGAGAGAGAGAGAGAGAGAGAGACGAUAAGGGAGUUGAGUUUCCUGAUCAGAUUGUGUUUGAUGUUGUUAAAUAUUUUUGUUCAUGCUGCAUGGAGCAUGAGAGUCUGUGAGUGUGUUUAGAAGGUGUGUAUGAGAGAAAGAGAGAGAGAGAGAAAGAGUGUGUGUGUGUGUGUGUGUGUGUGUGUGUGUGUGUGUGUGUGUGUGUGUGUGUGGUAGAGCCCGUCAGCCGUACAGUAUCAGGCUGCAGCACACACACAGACACACACGCACACACACUCAUACAUAUACACAGCAGUGUGCUUCCGCUGAGCAGGGGCAGAAACAGCAGGCCUGAAUCCGAUAGAGUAAGAUCAUUUUAACUCUUUGACACCUGACGUUCCGGGUAAUUUUUUUAUCGAUCUUUGUCAUUUUUAUGCUUUUAAACUCUCAGUUAUAUUAGCUGUUUAUAAACCUGUAUAAUUGAAUAUUUUGAGGAAGUGAUUUGUUGCAUGUUAUAAUCAUGAUCAUGACACAAGCGCAUUAAGAAGCGCAGUUACUGUAAGGCCGGUUUGGCGUAAUUUUAACUUUACGCACGGCGCGUAAGAAAUUAAAAUACAUUGUUGACUUUGCAAUUGUAUUUCUUCUUAUUGAUUUCUUUUUUGAGUAAUCCAAAAAACUUAAAUCAAACAGUAUCUGUCCUUCUGUUCGAGUCUAAAAUCUGAUUUGACUGGUAUGAUUAUUUUGGGAUGUGCACUGUUUAAUGAACAUGUGUCCCUUUAAAUUAAAAAUGUAAAUUAAAUACCUGACUGUAAAUGUUGGCUACUAAAUGUUAUUUAAGGUUAGCUUUCUUUCAACGAUCCAGUCAUAAUUUUUAAAACUGUGAGGCUAUUAUGAUGAUAUUUUAAUGAUAAAAAAAAUAUAUUUUUUGGCUUCUUAUAAAAAACAAUGUCUCCUGUCUGAAUUGCGCGGAUAUCCCGCAGUUGCUUAGCGCCAUACAGUGGCUGGAAAACAUUUUCCUCUUGGCCUCCACACUGACCAGGAGUGAUUUAUGCUCACUGUGUCCAUUUUUAUAUCACUCCAGUCGAUGUAUUUGACUUCCUACUCUUUCUAAAGCUUACCGAAAAGUCUUUAUAAAUAAGAUGAAUCCAAAUCAAUUCAACCAGAAUGUUUCUGAAAUUUUCUUAUUUGAGUGUAACACCAGAUAUUACCUGCCCAGAAAGAGCUGAGACUCUGAGAAGAAUAAAUAUCCAUUUUGUCAUAACGAGGAUAAACUUUUGUUUGAGUCCACUUUGAUGUCUGACUGAAAAGCGCUUCAGCUCCUUCUAGGAGGAAAAGCCUAACAGCAUAAUUGGGACUAUCAAGUAAAAUUGAUACAAUAACAUCCACUCGCUCGGUUCAAAGAAUGCCCGAAGAAAGAAAAUUGUCACACUUCUCCUCUUCUUCCUCUUUUUUUUUUUUUUUUUGGUCUAAUGACCCCCGCAAUUUUCCUCCAGCCGGACUCAUUUUCCCGACGAUGGGGAGGAAAUAUUUCAUGUGAGGAUUUGAGGAUCUUUGAAACAGUUUCUGCAGGUCGCUCCUGAGGGGAGUUUGAAAACAUGUCGGCUCUAAUUAGCGCUGCAGAGAUCACGCACCAGUCCGGGAGUGGGUCCGGAGUGAGCCCUACAAAAAUCACACUGAACAUGAAAAAUACACCUGGUGGAGUUUGGAUAAUUUCUAUAACGAUUUAUGAUGAGACGUCGAUUUUACUAAGAGUUAAAGUUUUUUUUCAGUGUUGUUCAGAUAAACAUGAUUUGUUGCGGAAUUAUUUUUUCUACCGCUAAAAACCAAUAAGAUUUAAAAAUGUCUUCUAAUGUAUUUAUUACAAUUAAAAUGAAAUGAAUAGGCUACGACCUGAAUUUAACAAGAAUUUAUCUCAAAACAUUAAAAAAACGUAAAGCAGACUCCGUAAAAUGUUUUGUUUUUACAGCAAGUUACGGUAAAAAAAAUUGCGUAAAAAAGACACAAAAACAAACAAAACAAAACAAAAAAGGAUUUACACCCAUCAUUUACAUUUAAAAUGACAGCAAAGAUUAAUAUUCAGCCUGUUUGAAAGUAUUUCCCUUUUCUUUCUUUCUUUCUUUCUUUCUCACAGUUUCAGAUAGUCUAACAUUUAUAUUGUCACUUUUGAGAACUCUACAUCAGAUUAAAAAUCUUAAAAAUUUGGGUCUGUUGGUUGAAAUAUCAGAUUUAUUAAAAGCCAGAUUUAACUUCAGUUUCUUUGAGUAAAGUGCAAAAUUAAAGAAAUUUACCUUCAGCUAAAUUUCCACCUUAAAUAGUUCAACUGAGGCCUGAUUUCCCUCUUUUUUUCAGCCCCUCUUUAACUCACACUGACUGAUCAGAGACAAAAGAAUAUGAACAUACGUCAUGGCCAUUUCAAUCUCAUUACAUCAGUGAUGAUACCAAUAUCAUUGCCAUCAUUUACCCCAGUUGCCUAUUAAUCACCUUCCAUUAGUGUCUUUACCGAGCUCUUAGAAGAGGUUCCAGGAUCCUGCUCCAUGUUGGAGGAUAAAUGAGUCAUCAAGCCGACCACAAGAAUACAAUAACUAACUGUCUUUUGUUCCCGUGUGUCACCUCAGAGUGAUUUUUCACCGGAGCUCUGAACACUAACAGGGGUAUUGAUUAAAAUAUGUUUUCCCACCCUCAGGAUUGGACAGUGUGGAGUCUCCCGUGGGAUCCUGGAGCUUGGUGUGAGCGUACGGAGAGAGGAGGAAAGAAAGGGGAGAAGGGAGACUCAGGAGCGACACUUAAAAAAGAGGAG